rnacentral:lncRNA from 1 species
AGAAUAAAUGAACAACUAUCGGUGUUACCUACAUUCGAACAAUGGAACACUUUUCUCAUUUGAAUGUCAUCGGACGCGACUCUCUCUCGCUUAUGCCGAAACCGAAACUGUACCGCGUCGCCAAAACGCGGCGUGGUCAUGUCUGCAAACAGAAAAAAUCGUCUGAAAUCGCAAAGCGCAAACCUGCGCAUAUGUUUUUUUGUACUAUGCAUAGCCAAUGAGACAAACUUUCAUGUAUUACAAACGAUAUUACGUAUAAUGCAAUAUAUUAAACUUUUGAAUGCCCUAUUUAUCUUUGAACUUAAACGUUGUCUACGGAUAAAGUUAAUAAAUAUUUCUUUUUAAACAAAAUGUUAUAAAAAACCCUUUUGAUAAUACUAAAUAACUAGUAGAAAACAUUUAGUUUUAAAUCACUAUUAUCGAGGUAAGUAAAAAAAAAAACAGAUUUCAGAAAUAAAAGCAAAACUUCCUUUUUAAUUUAAAUUCUAUAUUAGGUAGAGCCUUUAUCAAACAACUAGAUAUGUAUUUAUUAAGUAUAGACCUCCUACAAUCAAAGUUUAAUUUAUGUUUUUUAAUUUCACCACUUUCAAAAAUGAAUUAUGUUUCGCAAAAACCAUAAAAUCUCACACUGUGCGUCGGUCAGAUGAGCGCAUGAUAAUGCAAUUGCCUACCACUUUAGAGUAUGCGGAUACUAUUUCGAGUCCAACACUUCCAGAUUUUCAGUAGUAGUUUGGAUUCCGCCCGUUGAAAUUCAUCCUUCAACUUUCUGAUUGAUCGUAUCAUGGUUGUUGGCCAGCAUGUAUUGGGCUGUAA